UACGUAGGGGGCAAGCGUUGUCCGGAUUUAUUGGGCGUAAAGAGCGUGUAGGCGGUUAGGUAGGUCCGUUGUGAAAACUCGAGGCUCAACCUCGAGACGCCGAUGGAAACCCCCUAACUAGAGUCCGGAAGAGGAGAGUGGAAUUCCUGGUGUAGCGGUGAAAUGCGCAGAUAUCAGGAAGAACACCCGUGGCUAAGGCGGCUCACUGGCCCGAUACUGACGCUGAGGUGCGAAAGCGUGGGGAGCAAACAGG
rnacentral:rRNA from 1 species